rnacentral:rRNA from 1 species
GACGAACGCUGGCGGCGUGCCUAACACAUGCAAGUCGAGCGGAGAUGUACUGAAGAUUUAUCGGAUGUACAUCUUAGCGGCGGACGGGUGAGUAACGCGUGGGCAACCUGCCUUUCACUGGGGGAUAACACAGGGAAACCUGUGCUAAUACCGCAUGACAUCACGUAGGGCAUCCUAUGUGAUCAAAGGAGAGAUCCGGUGGAAGAUGGGCCCGCGUCCAAUUAGCUGGUUGGUGAGGUAAAGGCUCACCAAGGCGACGAUUGGUAGCCGAACUGAGAGGUUGAUCGGCCACAUUGGGACUGAGACACGGCCCAGACUCCUACGGGAGGCAGCAGUGGGGAAUAUUGCGCAAUGGGGGGAACCCUGACGCAGCAACGCCGCGUGAAGGAAGAAGGUCUUCGGAUUGUAAACUUCUUUGAUGAGGGACGAAUAAAGUGACGGUACCUCAAAACAAGCCACGGCUAACUACGUGCCAGCAGCCGCGGUAAACAUA